UACGUAGGUGGCAAGCGUUGUCCGGAUUUAUUGGGUUUAAAGGGUGCGUAGGCGGCUUUGUAAGUCAGUGGUGAAAUCUGGCAGCUCAACUGUCAAGGUGCCAUUGAUACUGCAGAGCUUGAGUACAGAUGAGGUAGGCGGAAUUGACGGUGUAGCGGUGAAAUGCUUAGAUAUCGUCAAGAACACCUAUAGCGAAGGCAGCGUACUAGGCUGUAACUGACGCUGAGGCACGAAAGUGUGGGGAUCAAACAGG
rnacentral:rRNA from 1 species